rnacentral:rRNA from 1 species
CAAUAGCGUAUAUUAAAGUUGUUGCAGUUAAAAAGCUCGUAGUUGGAUUUCUGGUGGGAGCGAUCGGUCUGGCGCUUAGCGCGAGUACUUGCAUCGUCUCCGGCCAUCCUUGGGGAGAGUCUGUCUGGCAUUAGGUUGUCGGGCAGAGGAUCCUCAUCGUUUACUGUGAAAAAAUUAGAGUGUUCAAAGCAGGCUUAUGCCGUUGAAUAUAUUAGCAUGGAAAAAUAAGAUAGGACUUUGGUACUAUUUUGUUGGUUUGCGCACCAAAGUAAUGAUUAAUAGGGACAGUUGGGGGUAUUCGUAUUCCGUUGUCAGAGGUGAAAUUCUUGGAUUUACGGAAGACGAACUACUGCGAAAGCAUUUACCAAGGAUGUUUUCAUUAA